UANCUACUGANUCACAUUUUGAUCUUUCGGGAGAAGUGAUAAAUGUCCAUAGUAAGGGAAAAAAAUGAUGCUACCUUACUCUAAGUCGNNGUCCAAAUCUGGUGCCAGAAGACUCGGUAAGGCCAGAAACGCGAACGUUAGUCACAUUCGACCAGGCGUAAAGGGUAUGUAGGCAGCUUAAAAGUUUUAUUUUUAUAAUAGCUAUUUCAAAUAAAAAUAUUGUUUGAUUUUAAAAAUAAAAUUAAUUUAAGAUAGAAUCAAAUUGAGGAUAAGCCGAAUAAUAUUUAGUGUAGGGAUUAAAUAUGCAAAUACUAAAUGGAAUACUAAAGGUGAAAGCUUUUUAUCUAAUAUUGAUCGACGCUGAGAUACGAAGGUGGGAAAAGGAAAUAGGAUUAGAGACCCUGGUACCUCCCACAGUCAACGAUGAAUGGUAGAUUGUUAGUUUUUUUUUAAAACUAGUACCGAUGUUAACGCGAUAACCAUUCCGCCUUGAGAGUACGGUUGCAAAACUGGAACCAAAAAAAUUAGUCGGUCUCGGAGCAAACGAAGUGAAGCAUGUUAUUUA
rnacentral:rRNA from 1 species